rnacentral:miRNA from 1 species
AGUGUGCGCGCGCCUACCCCGA